GACGAACGCUGGCGGCGUGCUUAACACAUGCAAGUCGAACGGAAAGGCCCUGCUUUUGUGGGGUGCUCGAGUGGCGAACGGGUGAGUAACACGUGAGUAACCUGCCCUUGACUUUGGGAUAACUUCAGGAAACUGGGGCUAAUACCGGAUAGGAGCUCCUGCUGCAUGGUGGUGGUUGGAAAGUUUCGGCGGUUGGGGAUGGACUCGCGGCUUAUCAGCUUGUUGGUGGGGUAGUGGCUUACCAAGGCUUUGACGGGUAGCCGGCCUGAGAGGGUGACCGGCCACAUUGGGACUGAGAUACGGCCCAGACUACUACGGGAGGCAGCAGUGGGGAAUAUUGCACAAUGGGCGGAAGCCUGAUGCAGCAACGCCGCGUGCGGGAUGACGGCCUUCGGGUUGUAAACCGCUUUCGCCUGUGACGAAGCGUGAGUGACGGUAAUGGGUAAAGAAGCACCGGCUAACUACGUG
rnacentral:rRNA from 1 species